ACCUGACCCGAAGGCAGUCAGUCAAUGAACUGAGCCACCCAGGAGCCCCUAAACAGCAUAUUUUUAAAUUAUAGGGGAGGAGUUAUAAUUUAUAAAUAAAAAGUUAUAUUUUAUAAUUAUAGGAAAAUUAGAAAAGGCUUUUUAGAGCAGGAUUAAAUAAUAACAAAAGCAAAUCCCAUAGUGAAAUAGUCUUAUAUCAAAAUUUAAAUUUUCUGUACAAGUGACAACCAAAAUGCCAUCGACAGCAAACCCCAAAUUGAACUAAGAGGAAACAUAAUUUACAGAAGAAACCAAACCCUAAAGUAAGGGGGAAAUGCUCAAAAUCAUUAGUAAUUACAGCUGAAUAAAACAAAAAUGACCCAUCACUUUGCAUUAUUAGGCUGGCCAAAAAAAGUGUAAACAGUAGGAAGCCGGAUGAUGCUCAGUGUUUGCGGACGCGUGGACACAGGACGGAAGACACAGGACCCAGUGAUGGAGGCUGCCUCAGUCCUGUUCGCAUUUGAACAUCUUUGGCCAAUCCAAGGCCUCUGCACAAGGACCGGAUGUGUGAGAAGAGUCUGCCUGGCAGCCAGAGGACGGUCAUCCUGUUGCCGUGUUACUGAGAGCCUUCCCUGUAGUACAUGGUCUCUGGUGGGCUUUCAGGCUCUGCUGGUACCUGAUUCUCGAUACCAACCUAGAGGCAAUGAGAAGUGAGGGGAAGGUCCUGAGGAGGACAAACAUCAUUGUUCAAGGCAUCCACCUCAGUAGGUGAAUGGAUAAACUGUGGAGCACCCAGUGGGAUACUGUUUGGCGAUAAAAGGACUGAGCUACUGAUUCACACAUCAACAUGAAGAAAUCUGAAAUACAUUUUGCUGCUCUCUUCAAUAAAUGGUGUUGGGAGAAUUGGACUACUAUAUAUGGAAGAAUG